CCCCAAAGUAGUUUAGUUGGUUAGAACACAGUCGCAUGCGCUGGGAUGGUGGUUCGAAUCCACUCUGCGGGGGCCA
rnacentral:tRNA from 1 species